rnacentral:rRNA from 1 species
UACGGAGGGUGCGAGCGUUGUCCGGAAUCACUGGGCGUAAAGGGCGCGUAGGCGGCCUGGCAAGUCGAUGGUGAAAGCCCGUGGCUCAACUACGGGUCGGCCAUUGAUACUGCUAGGCUCGAGUCGACUAGAGGCAGAUGGAAUUCCGGGUGUAGCGGUGGAAUGCGUAGAGAUCCGGAAGAACACCGGUGGCGAAGGCGGUCUGCUGGGGUCGAACUAACGCUGAGGCGCGACAGCGUGGGGAGCAAACAGG